rnacentral:rRNA from 1 species
GAGUUGAUCGUGGCUCAGAGUGAACGCUGGCGGUAGGCCUAACACAUGCAAGUCGAACGGCAGCACAGAGGAGCUUGCUCCUUGGGUGGCGAGUGGCGGACGGGUGAGGAAUACAUCGGAAUCUACUCUGUCGUGGGGGAUAACGUAGGGAAACUUACGCUAAUACCGCAUACGACCUACGGGUGAAAGCAGGGGAUCUUCGGACCCUGCGCGAUUGAAUGAGCCGAUGUCGGAUUAGCUAGUUGGCGGGUAAAGGCCACCAAGGCGACGAUCCGUAGCUGGUCUGAGAGGAUGAUCAGCCACACUGGAGCUGAGACACGGUCCAGACUCCUACGGGAGGCAGCAGUGGGGAAUAUUGGACAAUGGGCGCAAGCCUGAUCCAGCCAUACCGCGUGGGUGAAGAAGGCCUCGG